CCAGCUUGUGCUCACCUGGACUAUUCCACCAAGCAGAGGUGGAAAGCAGCGGGGCACCACUUUCUUUAUAUUAGACAAGUCAAUUACCAGGGUGGAUCCAGUGCUUCGCCAUCGAUGCAAAAUAUAGUUUUUGUGUGAAAACCAACCAAAAUUUCAACAAAUAUUAGAUCUAAACCUAUAAUUUUAAGAAUAGGUUAGUUAAAUGCUAAGAACCUUAAACGUCGAACCUAUCAAAGUUAAAAUCAUAGAUCUACCUUUGGAAAUUACUAGCUAAAAUGCUUGGCAUGCAACUCUCCGAAAACUUAAAGAUUAUGAUAACUUAUGAGAUUAAUUUAGUACAUAUAUAACAAAAAUACAGCAUUUGUUCAUACUUGGCCUCGACAAGCUUUCAUAUUCUAAAACUGGUCAAUGACAGUCCACACAAAGAUGCUUCCGUAUUUGUUCUAGGGUUGAGUACUAAUCGGAUGUAAUUAUUAAAUAAAUUAGUCCCAUAAAACUAACAAUGACAGUCCACACAAAGAUGCUUCACUAUUUGUUUAAUACAAUUUUACAAAUAAAUAAUUCGUUAUUGUGGUAAUAUUUAUUAUUCAACUCAAUUAAAUAAUAAUUCUAGUUCCUACUAAUUUGUGAAAAACAAAAAUCAUAAAAGAAUCAAAGUCAAAAUAUGCUUGAAUAAGUAGAAUCCAUAUUAGUCAUUAGAAAGAGGUGAAAAGAACUUUACAAAGUUAUAGGGAUAGGUCUAACAAAUGCCGCUGCCAAGGGGUGAGGAAGGUCGGGUCUCGCCAGAUGCCGACUGCUUUCUGUAGUUGAAUAUGACUGAGAUAAGAGUGGAUUAUGAACCAUGACCUAGGUAAGGAUUUCUGUUGAUUACAAGAAAAGGCGGAAAAGAAGCUUGACUAUACUAACUUGUUGACUGCAAAAAGAUUUUUUUUCUUUAAAAAGGAAAUUAGAUUUUGUUUACUGUCAUAAGUCAAAAAGAAAUUAGCUGCUGGACUUGGGGUUCAAACUCCGGUUAUCAGAAACCCUAAAACACUUGAGCAAGCACAUUUGUUGAUGAGGGUCAAGUUCUAUGAUAAAUACACAUAUAGAUACAAAAUUUUAAGUUUUACGAUAAAUACACAUAUAUAUAUACAGAAUUUUUGCCAAGGUUUACAGGUGCCGGUGAACCCUUUAUGUUUAACAUAGUUCCACCUUUGCCACCAGAUACCUCCUACUUCCUACCAAUACAGGUACGGGUAACUCUACGGACCAAGGCUUAAAGCUUGUUUGGAUGGUUGUUCCCCGUUGUAUCGUAAUGUAUAUCCCAAAAAAAUAUUUGUUUUGAUUGUUUCAUUAAAAUUGGUUGUAUUGUAUUGUUAAAUUGUUUCAUUAAAAUUGGUUGUGUUGUAUUGUUAAAUCCAUUGUUCCGGAACAAUGAAAAGUUCCCUUUUUUUAAACAACCGAUUUGGUAUGCUGAGAUUGUUUCCUAUUUUUCUUUUCAAUUAUGCCCUAACUUAUUACUCCACAAUUCUAUUUUAUCAUUUACCUUUUUUUUCUAUUUUAACUCCAAAUCUCCAACCUAUAACCUACUUUGUUUUUUUUCCGGAACUGCUGCCAUCGUUAAAGGUGUUUUGCCGCGUUCUGUUUUUUUUCUCCUAAUUUGCUUUUAACUCAAUUCUAACUCAAUUCUAAUAUGAUACAAUACAAUACAAUACAAUACAUUGUAAAACGACGGGAACAAUGAUCCAAACAGAGUGUUAAGAAAAAUAGAAAUAGAUAAUAAAAAGAAAGCUCUUUUAUAGCAUCAAUACAUCAGCUACUGCAAAUUUGCUAUAAACCCAUAUAACCAACAAAAAAAAAAGAAAAGCGAAAAUACGACACAACAACAUUAAUCAGCAAAAAUGACAAAAAUUGUCAAGCUUCAAACUAACAACAUAUACCAAAAAACAGUUCUAGUUGCCACAGAGUUCUGUCUAGAGAGCAAGAGAAGGUUGGGGAUUGGUGGCGGUGAAGACAUAGAGGAGAACUUACAAAAUUGAUUUUGCCGGGCCGGCAAAAGAGAUAGUGAGUUCGGCGUCUGCUUUAGAGUGAGGGUGAAGAAAAAAGCUC
rnacentral:lncRNA from 1 species